GACGAACGCUGGCGGCGUGCCUAACACAUGCAAGUCAACUUGACUGAAGGAGCAAUCUGACAGUAGAGUGGCGCAAGGGUGCGUAACGCGUAAGUAACUUGCCCAAGGUAAGGAAUAACGUCGAGAAAUCGGCGCUAAUACCUCAUAAUGCAGCGGAUCCGCAUGGAUAUGUUGUUAAGGGUUUACCGCCUUGGGAUAGGCUUGCGUCUGAUUAGCUAGUUGGUGUGGUAACGGCACACCAAGGCUACGAUCAGUAACUGGUCUGAGAGGAUGAUCAGUCACACUGGAACUGAGACACGGUCCAGACUCCUACGGGAGGCAGCAGUGAGGAAUAUUGGGCAAUGCUCGAAAGAGUGACCCAGCAACGCCGCGUGGAGGAUGAAGGUAUUCUAUAUCGUAAACUCCUGUGAGAGCAGACGAAAGACAGAUUAUUAAUCUGGAUGACUGUAUGCUCAGAGGAAG
rnacentral:rRNA from 1 species